rnacentral:rRNA from 1 species
GCAUAUCAUAAGCGGAGGAAAAGAAACCAACAGGGAUUGCCCUAGUAACGGCGAGUGAAGCGGCAACAGCUCAAAUUUGAAAUCUGGCGUCUUCGGCGUCCGAGUUGUAAUUUGCAGAGGGCGCUUUGGCAUUGGCAGCGGUCCAAGUUCCUUGGAACAGGACGUCACAGAGGGUGAGAAUCCCGUACGUGGUCGCUAGCCUUUACCGUGUAAAGCCCCUUCGACGAGUCGAGUUGUUUGGGAAUGCAGCUCUAAAUGGGAGGUAAAUUUCUUCUAAAGCUAAAUACUGGCCAGAGACCGAUAGCGCACAAGUAGAGUGAUCGAAAGAUGAAAAGCACUUUGGAAAGAGAGUUAAAAAGCACGUGAAAUUGUUGAAAGGGAAGCGCUUGCAGCCAGACUUGCCUGUAGUUGCUCAUCCGGGUUUCUACCCGGUGCACUCUUCUAUAGGCAGGCCAGCAUCAGUUUGGGCGGUUGGAUAAAGGUCUCUGUCAUGUACCUCUCUUCGGGGAGAACUUAUAGGGGAGACGACAUGCAACCAGCCUGGACUGAGGUCCGCGCAUCUGCUAGGAUGCUGGCGUAAUGGCUGUAAGCGGCCCGUCUUGAAACACGGACCAAGGAGUCUAACAUCUAUGCGAGUGUUUGGGUGUCAAGCCCGAGCGCGUAAUGAAAGUGAACGGAGGUGGGAACCUUUCGGGGUGCACCAUCGACCGAUCCUGAUGUCUUCGGAUGGAUUUGAGUAAGAGCAUAGCUGUUGGGACCCGAAAGAUGGUGAACUAUGCUUGAAUAGGGUGAAGCCAGAGGAAACUCUGGUGGAGGCUCGCAGCGGUUCUGACGUGCAAAUCGAUCGUCAAAUUUGGGCAUAGGGGCGAAAGACUAAUCGAACUAUCUAGUAGCUGGUUCCUGCCGAAG